rnacentral:misc_RNA from 1 species
GAUGAAGAACGUAGCGAAAUGCGAUAAGUAGUGUGAAUUGCAGAAUUCAGUGAAUCAUCGAAUCUUUGAACGCACAUUGCGCCCCUUGGUAUUCCAUGGGGCAUGCCUGUUCGAGCGUCAUUUGUACCUUCAAGCUCUGCUUGGUGUUGGGUGAUUGUCUAUCUUUAUAGACUCGCCUUAAAGUCAUUGGCAGCCGGCAUAUUGGCCUGGGAGCGCAGCACAAGUCGCGCUUCUUGUCAUGAAUGUUGGCGUCCAGUAAGUCUACAUAUUUUGCUCUUGACCUCGGAUCAGGUAGGGAUACCCGCUGAACUUAAGCAUAUCAAAAGCGGAGGA